rnacentral:rRNA from 1 species
GACGAACGCUGGCGGCGUGCUUAACACAUGCAAGUCGAACGAAGUGGCGCACGGGUGUGUAACGCGUAAUCACCCCGCCCUUCAGAGGGGGACAACAGUUGGAAACGACUGCUAAUACCGCAUACUGAAGGAGGGGAUUUUGUUUGAUUAGGUGGUUGGAGGGGUAACGGCCCACCAAGGCGAUGAUCAGUAGCCGGGCUGAGAGGAUGAACGGCCACAUUGGGACUGAGACAAGGCCCAGACUCCUACGGGAGGCAACGGUGGGGAGUCUUCCGCAAUGGACGAAAGUCUGACGGAGCAACGCCGCGUGAGUGAUGACGGCCUUCGGGGUGUAAAGCUCUGUGAAUCGGGACGCGGUACCGGGAUAGAAAGCCACGGCUAACUACGUGCCAGCAGCCGCGGUAAUUC